CGGGGCGUAGCGCAGUUUGGUUAGCGCGCUUGGUUCGGGACCAAGAGGUCGGUGGUUCGAAUCCACUCGCCCCGA
rnacentral:tRNA from 2 species